CGGCAGGUGGCGAAAUUGGUAAACGCGCUUGAAAAAUAACCUUUAUAGGAUUACUUGUCUGCAAAGGCUGAACUGUAGAGGGUUAUCUAAGGUCGGGUGACCAUUGGUCUUGUAGGUUCGAGCCCUACCCUGCCGA
rnacentral:tRNA from 1 species